rnacentral:lncRNA from 1 species
GGCUCAUUGGUUGACCAAGGGUUGAUUAAUGCUUCUACACCAAAAGGUCUGGGGUUCGAGUCCCAGGUAUUGCGAUUUAUUAAAAAAUUUGCAGAUUAAUGGAGGCAAGUGUGCAAGAGAUCUCCAGCGAUGUACAAUUAUAGCCGUUCGCCAGGAUUCUACGCAUAGAAGGAAGUGUCGCCAGGUCGUGGAUCAUUGAAGGUAUUCAUCAAGAUUACGAAGAAGGAAGUGUAGUCUGUCGUGAAUCUAGUAAGGGUCGGAAGGAAUUGUCAGUUGUAGAAUCGUCUAUGUAACAGUUCUCAUAAUUUGCAAUUAAUAAUAAAUCUAGACGACAAAAACAAAAAAAAUCAACUUU